UAGGGAAUCUUCGGCAAUGGGGGCAACCCUGACCGAGCAACGCCGCGUGAGUGAAGAAGGUUUUCGGAUCGUAAAGCUCUGUUGUAAGAGAAGAACGUGUGUGAGAGUGGAAAGUUCACACAGUGACGGUAACUUACCAGAAAGGGACGGCUAACUACGUGCCAGCAGCCGCGGUAAUACGUAGGUCCCGAGCGUUGUCCGGAUUUAUUGGGCGUAAAGCGAGCGCAGGCGGUUUAAUAAGUCUGAAGUUAAAGGCAGUGGCUUAACCAUUGUUCGCUUUGGAAACUGUUAAACUUGAGUGCAGAAGGGGAGAGUGGAAUUCCAUGUGUAGCGGUGAAAUGCGUAGAUAUAUGGAGGAACACCGGUGGCGAAAGCGGCUCUCAGGUCUGUAACUGACGCUGAGGCUCGAAAGCGUGGGGAGCAAACAGG
rnacentral:rRNA from 1 species